rnacentral:rRNA from 1 species
AGACGACGACGGGUAGCCGGCCUGAGAGGGCGACCGGCCACACUGGGGACUGAGACACGGCCUASGGGAGGCAGCAGUGGGGAAUAUUGCACAAUGGGGGAAAMCCUGAUGCAGCGACGCAGCGUGCGGGAUGACGGCCUUCGGGUUGUAAACCGCUUUCAGCAGGGAAGAAGCGCAAGUGACGGUACCUGCAGAAGAAGUACCGGCUAACUACGUGCCAGCAGCCGCGGUAAUACGUAGGGUACGAGCGUUGUCCGGAAUUAUUGGGCGUAAAGAGCUCGUAGGUGGUUGGUCACGUCUGCUGUGGAAACGCAACGCUUAACGUUGCGCGUGCAGUGGGUACGGGCUGACUAGAGUGCAGUAGGGGAGUCUGGAAUUCCUGGUGUAGCGGUGAAAUGCGCAGAUAUCAGGAGGAACACCGGUGGCGAAGGCGGGACUCUGGGCUGUAACUGACACUGAGGAGCGAAAGCAUGGGGAGCGAACAGGAUUAGAUACCCUGGUAGUCCAUGCCGUAAACGUUGGGCACUAGGUGUGGGGGGCAUUCCACGUUCUCCGCGCCGUAGCUAACGCAUUAAGUGCCCCGCCUGGGG